GUCUUGCGGAUGAUGAGAGACAUCAAUAAGAGGGGAUGAACCUCGGUUGGUCCAACUAUACUAUUAUUAUUAUCAUUUUUAUUAUUACUGUUAUUAUCAUAAUUAUUAUUACUAAUAUUCACCUAUACUAUAUUUAUUAUGUCUAUGGGUCGCACAACCCGGACGAAAUAGACCGUCGGACGAAACAUCUGCAAAUGUUUGGAACGACACGGAGGGAAAACACGAGACCGUUUUUUAGAAUUAUUAUUCGUUUUUAUUUCUGUAACGCUUACAGCUGCUAUUGAGAAAUCAUUACUGGAAUCGCGACCAUAGAUUAAUCAGGAUGGAAGAUAAUAUUCCUAAAAGAAAUUCGAGCAAGUCAUCAAGUAAGUUUAUGUAACCACUGUUAGCAUGAAGGCGAUAACUAGCUAAACUUGCUAUUUAUUUAUUUAUUUUUUUGAACUGCAUGAACAGCAAAUACAA